rnacentral:rRNA from 1 species
UACGUAGGGCGCAAGAGUUAACCGGAAUUAUUGGGCGUAAAGCGCUCGUAGGCGGUUUGUCGCGUCUGCCGUGAAAGUCCGGGGCUUAACUCCGGAUCUGCGGUGGGUACGGGCAGACUAGAGUGCAGUAGGGGAGACUGGAAUUCCUGGUGUAGCGGUGAAAUGCGCAGAUAUCAGGAGGAACACCGAUGGCGAAGGCAGGUCUCUGGGCUGUAACUGACGCUGAGGAGCGAAAGCAUGGGGAGCGAACAGG